UUUUUACUGGAGAGUGAGAUUAGGUUGAUUAUUUUUGCAGAUAAUUAACAGACAAAUUACUCACGUCCACCAAUUUAUUUAAGAAUUUUUGGGGUUACAGAAGUAUCCGAAACCUACAGAUUACUACAGAUUGUUCUGUUUUUGACAGAUUCUGUUUUUCGUGUGUUGUUUGCUUUUUUUGAUGAAUCUAUGGCUAGUAUCGGGGGGUAUGAACCAUAGUGUAACACCCUCGAUGCGUCUAUAUCUCCCACGUGUUGAAGCACGACUUAGAGGCAUAACCGCAUUGAAAGCAAUGUCGCAAGUGAGGUAAUCUGCACACAACCCAUGUAAUACAUAAGGAAAAGGGAUACAUAGUUGGCUUACAAUCGCCACUUCACACAAUACAUGAAUAAAGCAUUACAACAUCCAAAUACAAUCAAGGUCUGACUACGAUACCAAAAUAAAAGAAGACUACCCCAAAUGCUACACAGAUCCCCGAUCAACCCCAACUGGGCUCCACUACUGAUCAACUGGAAACGAAACAAGACUACGAA
rnacentral:lncRNA from 1 species